GGGCCCGCACAAGCGGUGGAGCAUGUGGUUUAAUUCGAUGCAACGCGAAGAACCUUACCAGGGUUUGACAUCCUGCGAAUCUCUUGGAAACAGGAGAGUGCCUUCGGGAACCGAGUGACAGGUGCUGCAUGGCUGUCGUCAGCUCGUGUCGUGAGAUGUUGGGUUAAGUCCCGUAACGAGCGCAACCCUUGUCCUUAGUUGCCAGCACAUUAUGGUGGGAACUCUAAGGAGACUGCCGGUGCAAACCGUGAGGAAGGUGGGGAUGACGUCAAAUCAUCACGGCCCUUACGUCCUGGGCUACACACGUGCUACAAUGGUCGGUACAGAGAGCAGCCACUACGCGAGUAGGAGCGAAUCUUCAAAGCGAUCAC
rnacentral:rRNA from 1 species